rnacentral:rRNA from 1 species
GACGAACGCUGGCGGCGUGCCUAAUACAUGCAAGUAGAACGCUGAAGGAGGAGCUUGCUUCUCUGGAUGAGUUGCGAACGGGUGAGUAACGCGUAGGUAACCUGCCUGGUAGCGGGGGAUAACUAUUGGAAACGAUAGCUAAUACCGCAUAAUAGUAGAUGUCGCAUGACAUUUGCUUAAAAGGUGCAAUUGCAUCACUACCAGAUGGACCUGCGUUGUAUUAGCUAGUUGGUGAGGUAACGGCUCACCAAGGCAACGAUACAUAGCCGACCUGAGAGGGUGAUCGGCCACACUGGGACUGAGACACGGCCCAGACUACUACGGGAGGCAGCAGUAGGGAAUCUUCGGCAAUGGACGGAAGUCUGACCGAGCAACGCCGCGUGAGUGAAGAAGGUUUUCGGAUCGUAAAGCUCUGUUGUAAGAGAAGAACGAGUGUGAGAGUGGAAAGUUCACACUGUGACGGGAUCUUACCAGAAAGGGACGGCUAACUACG